GGAGACCUACGGGGCGCAGCAGUGAGGAAUAUCGGUCAAUGGGCGCGAGCCUGAACCAGCCAAGUCGCGUGAGGGAAGACGGUCCUAUGGAUUGUAAACCUCUUUUGUCGGGGAGCAAAAGACGCCACGCGUGGCGUUCCGAGAGUACCCGAAGAAAAAGCAUCGGCUAACUCCGUGCCAGCAGCCGCGGUAAUACGGAGGAUGCGAGCGUUGUCCGGAUUUAUUGGGCUUAAAGGGUGCGCAGGCGGAAGAUCAAGUCAGCGGUAAAAUUGAGAGGCUCAACCUCUUCGAGCCGUUGAAACUGG
rnacentral:rRNA from 1 species